rnacentral:rRNA from 1 species
UACAGAGGGGGCGAGCGUUAUUCGGAAUUAUUGGGCGUAAAGGGCGCGUAGGCGGCCUUUCAAGUGACGGGUGAAAUCCCUCGGCUUAACCGAGGAACUGCCUGUCAGACUGGAAGGCUUGAGACCGGGAGAGGUGAGUGGAACUGCGAGUGUAGAGGUGAAAUUCGUAGAUAUUCGCAAGAACACCAGUGGCGAAGGCGGCUCACUGGCCCGAUACUGACGCUGAGGCACGAAAGCGUGGGGAGCAAACAGG